rnacentral:lncRNA from 1 species
GCACCUGCUAGAUUCUUACCGCAGAAGCAAAAUCUGGCUUCCUAAGUGAAAAUUGCAGAAGUAGGUCGUGGUCCGUAGAAGUGGUCCCUUCCCGCGAAAGCGAAAAUGUCUAAAUAUAAAUAGUAAGUUCGAGGGUUGAGUUUCAAAGUAUGAAAUCAAUUGAGAGCUCGGGAGAGGGCGAUUUUUAGAGGAUUUUGAAGAGAAGAUUAUUGGAUUUGGGCCAUUUGGAUUCGGAUACUCGUGAAAAAGCGUGGUUCCUAGUUGAUUAUUGAGGCGGUUCGAGGUAAGUGACUUGUCUAACCUUGUGUGGGGGACCUUUUCCCUUAGGACAUGAUCUUUGAAUAUUUGAAUGCCUCGUACAUGGGGUGAUGAGCGUGUACUUGAG